rnacentral:tRNA from 3 species
CGGAGCGUGGCCAAGCUUGGUCUAAGGCGCUACCUUGGGGUGGUAGAGAUCGCUGGUUCGAAUCCAGUCGCUCCGA